CCGGAACUUUCCCACAGUUGACACGAGCUGCUGUCCCCUCCCCGGCGAGCUGCGCACCGUCACUCAGCAAGCCAGUGUCGCGAUGACCGCCUGGAUCCCGGUUUCGGAAAAUAAAAUCCAUCGGGAGGCCUGCGGAGACUCUCGGGCCACACGGACAGGGUGACCCCGGCUACUUCCCGCCUGACCGGGAGCAGAGGCCACGUCCGGCCCACGCGAGUGAGCCCACAGGAGGCGGCGGGAGUCACCGGCUCCGCUGAGCGCCUGAGACCGUCACUCCGAGGCGAGGGCCGUGUCCCUCAUGGCCGCCCGACCCUGAGGAAGAGGCCGGCUGCCUGCGCUCCCGCCGCCCCCGCUGCCCCAGCCCAGCCCAGCCCAGCCCUGCCCUACCCUACCCCUGGCCUCCUCAGCCCGCACCGUGGCUCCCGCGGGCUCCAGCUGGAGGGCCCAGGCCGCCCCGCCAUCUCCUCUCUGGUUUGGUGCCUCCGCGGGGAUUGGAUGAACCCCCGCCAGGGGUGGGGCGUCCUGCAGCGCGCCUGCGCAGUGUGCUCCGCCUGACUGCCGCCGCAGCAGGGCUAACGGUUCCGGGCAAGCGCUAGUGCGCAUGCUUAAAACCGUUGGGCCGCUGUUCAGGGUAGAGGAAGCCAGGGCCGUGUGCGGUCUUCCAGGCUUGCGAUUGGCCACUUGAGGAGUCGCUGACCUGCGCAUGUGUAGAGGCCUCCAGAGGGGCCGUCCUCGCUUGAUGUCGCCGGUGUUGCGGCAAGUGUGCCUGCGGCCUGUGCGGGGGACCGAGUUCAAGUCCCGUCUCUGCCAGUGUUCAUCACUGCGUGCCCAGGAGGGUUUCUGGUUCACCCAGGACUCCACGUCAGCGUUCUGGAGCGAGGCCGAGUGUGUUGGCCCCACUAGACUAAUCUUGGUGGCCUUUCAGGGCUGGAUGCGGAGGAGAGUGAAGGGAGGAGCCAGGCCCCCGUUGCUACCAGUUUGAUCCUGAGGCGGGCCCUACCCCUCCCCCCCCCGUGGUCACGUCCGCACCCGAGGUGGGCUGCGAGGGAUUGGACAGUGUCAGGGUCUGCAAGGUGGGCAGGGGGUGCAGAUACUCCAGAGUAUUCCUUUGGGGUCUGGGUGGCCGUGGUGGGGGUGGCUCCUCUGGCUGGUAGUGGGCCAGAGUGUCCUGCCCUGUGCUGCGCAGGUGGUCACCUGGGGCCUGGGGCAGGUGGUCACCCAGCCCCUCCCAGGCUCCCUGCCUGUGUGCUGUGCGGAUUUCCCGUUUCUGGGGAGAGGCAGAGCUCCAAGGCCAGUGAGGGACCAGCGGACCUGGAUGCAGGCACUGCAGGUUCAAGUUCCUGGCCUCAGUCUGCGCAUCUUGUGCCGUCACUGUGCACAAAGCCUCUUUUGAGACAUUUCACCCCUAAUGUCCCUCAUCUGUUGGCCGAGAUCCAAUCACAACAGUAAUAACCAACCAUAAGGAGCAGUUCUGAGCACUACGUCUUCAAAGCCCUGCUAUAAGAGCCAAUCUCAGUUUUCAUCAUCUGUAGACUAGGAAUAGUAGUAAGCACAUUUAAUGAGUGCACCAUUCCUAUUCUCAUCAUGGUCCAGGAUUAUUUCAUUUAAUCUCCCCACUCUGACAAGGCACGGCCUGAUAGGGCUCCCACUCACUAACUCUGCUGUAGCCACUUUCAACUUGAAAAGCAAUUCACCUGUUACUUUAUUUCAAAAUGAGUUUAUUUGGGAAUAGCCAAAAGAAUUAUAAUUCAGGAUGUGCAUGCUGUGACAAACUAUAGGCAGAUUCAGAAAGAAGGGAGCUGCUUUUGUAGAGGAAAAGGGGGAGAGGGAGGGGCUGUCCUAAAGGAAAGUCCCCUGGGGAGAGGAACAGUUCAGCACGGCAAUGACUUGGCAGUUGAGCUGUGGCAUUUCUGGUUGGCUGGGCUGUUGCCCGGUGGAGAAGGAAAUCUUCCUUUAGUAGCAAAGCAGUUGUGCUUCCUGCUGGAGAUGCAAGCAUCUGUGUUUUUCUGUUUGGUGUCGUUGAGGAUGUGAGACACAGCCGAGACGUCCACAUACAGGCCUUCCUGACUUCAGUUAAGUUAGGGUUUCUUUUAUCAAUUUCCAUACCACAAGCCUCCUUCCUCAAAACAAAUGGACAGAAACCUUUACAAAGAGUGUCACGUCUACCAAACACACCUUUCCAAAUGUCGAAG
ensembl:lncRNA